AAUCGGUAGACGCUACGGACUUAAUUGGAUUGAGCCUUGGUAUGGAAACUUACUAAGUGAUCACUUUCAAAUUCAGAGAAACCCUGGAAUUAACAAAAAUGGGCAAUCCUGAGCCAAAUCCUGUUUUCCGAAAACAAACAAAGGUUCAGAAAAAAAGGAUAGGUGCAGAGACUCAAUGGAAGCUAUUCUAACAAAUGGAGUUAAAUGCGUUGGUAGAGGAAUCUUUACAUCGAAACUUCAGAAAGAAAAAGAAUGAAGUGAAGGAUAAACGUAUAUACAUACGUAUUGAAUACUAUAUCAAAAUCAAAUGAUUAAUGAUGACCCGAAUCUGUAUUUUUUCUAUAAAAAAUAGAAGAAUUGGUGUGAAUCGAUUCUACAUUGAAGAAAGAAUCGAAUAUUCAUUGAUCAAACCAUUCACUCCAUAGUCUGAUAGAUCUUUUGAAGAACUGAUUAAUCGGACGAGAAUAAAGAUAGAGUCCCGUUCUACAUGUCAAUACCGGCAACAAUGAAAUUUAUCGUAAGAGGAAAAUCCGUCGACUUUAAAAAUCGUGAGGGUUCAAGUCCCUCUAUCCCCA
rnacentral:ncRNA from 11 species